GUCAAAAAUAGACUCCCCUUUUUUUCCAAAGUGUGGCAAAAAUAACCACAUGCCUUUCUUGGACUCCUGACUCUCAUCCCAAAGGGUUUUCUUGUAUAGGAACCAACAAUUCCUUGGAUGGAAACACUGGAUGGACUAGUCAUUAUUUUGAGAUUUAGGAGAUUGCCGAUUCUUGGCAGACCUUGGUUAUUUUUCUAGAGUAGCAGGCAAGUAGUUGGACAAAAAGCGAGAAAGCCGAUCCAUGUUGCUGGCUUUGGCUUCUUCGUGAACAAAUGAGACAAGCUGAUGUAAAUAAACGCCAAGGCCAUUCAGCGUGUCAAGACUAUCGGCAUUUACCCUAGGCACGGACCUCUGAUGCUGUAGAAGCUGAGAAGCUGAUGGCAGAGAAGGAUUACCAGGAAGAAAGGGCUGGGACUGCUGCUGCAAAGAUGGGGUAGCAGGCUACAUGCAUACCGUGUUAAUCUAGCUAAUCAGCAGAACACUAACUUGCAAGAAACUGAGUCAGCCCUCUGGACACCGGCAACCAGGAUGCAAGUCUGGACUGCGAUUCUGUCAGAUGACAAACGACUCACCCAUAAGAUGGGGAUUCGAGAUAACCAUCGCAGAACAAACCGAACCCCCGGAUGAGUUACGUGACUAACUCCCCCUUUCCUUUGUUCUGAUUCUCCUUGUGCACCUAGAAAACCUGUGACCUGUCUAGGAAUGGGAGAUGGCCUUUGGACAGGAGUCUGCCAUCCUCCCGGAACGCCAGCAUUCUGAAUAAACCUG